CAAAGUAUAGCUAAAAAGAAGGCAUUUCAGUUACGUUGAAAAGGAUUAUCGUGCGAAUCGGUUUGCUUUGA
rnacentral:tRNA from 1 species